rnacentral:tRNA from 1 species
GCCUGGCUGGCUCAGUUGGUACAGUAUGUGACUCUUGAUCUCGGGGUUGUAGGUUCGACCCCCAUGUUGGGUG